GGGACGGUAGCUCAAUUGGUAGAGCGGCCUGAUCAGCACGAUGGGGGUUCGAGACCCUCCCGUCCCU
rnacentral:tRNA from 1 species